rnacentral:tRNA from 1 species
GGGAAGAUACCGUUCAAGGUUGAACGGGACGGGCUUGAAAACCGCUGUGCUCGCAUUGGGUACUGUGAGUUCGAAUCUCACCUUCUUCUCU